CUUCUCCCAAAUAUAAUAUUCACUUGCCAUGUCUAUACUUUGACACGAUUUCAAAAAGCACCCAGUUAAAUCAUUCAGAUCAGUCGAUGGGCAAAAACUAUGAAGUUUUCCUGACUCUAUGGUAGAGCUAAGCAUGCAUUUCCUUUAAUGACAGAAAGAACAUGUUCAUCUGAUAAGAAACAAAAAACAAACAAACAAAAAAAGGUCGAUAUAAAUUCUCCACUGUGAUAUACAACACAAAUACCUUUCUUAUAACUUUCUUAUCUUCCUUGGUCGGGCACAUGUCUUGGGACAAAGGCUACCUUGAAAGCUAAGCACGGCUGAAUGGUGAGUCGAUUGCGAAUUAUCAGUGAAUGGUUUGGAUAUGAUCGACUAAGACUCCACUGGGAAGAGUGCUGUUUAGACGAAAGAAAACCGAUGAGGUCCGUGGUUCCCUGAAUAAGAAUGGCAUGAAGUAGAGCCACAGGUGAUGUGAGGCAGACUCAUCAUAUGGUUUGUCUUCACCCCAGUGCCUAUUCUCUGAAUAUAAAGUUCUUCAGAACCCAGGAAUCACGUGGUGACUAUGACCAAAGCUCAUUUCCCAACAAGUGGCCACAGAGGACAAGGUGUGGAGGACACUGGAAGGAGCCCAUGACUGACGGGCGUGUUGCCUGAUGCUACAGGAGAUCCAUUGAUCGCAUCUCAAAGCAGUUUCUAGAGAAGCAGGAAGAAUUUAAAAUGCUCUGGAGAAAUUAUUUUCACCAUUUGUGCUUUUAAAGAAUAGGACGUAUUAAUUUUUCAUAAAUUCUUGUUAACCAUGGCAAUACACAAUGCCAUUAUUUCUUAAACUCUGGUUCAGGUUAUUUACAAAAUAGGUCAGGUCACCCCUUUCCAGCCCAGAGCCAGAAUUAAAAUAAAACAAUCCUCACUCCAGCUUCUGUUCUCCCCCGCACACAUUCCUGCCGUCUGGAAGGACCCGAAGCAAACGUUCCUGAUAUAUUUGGAAGGGAACAAAAGUUAGUACGGAACAGCAUUUGACCUCUGUCUUGUAUUAAUGUGAAUCUUAGGCUGCCCUGCACGCACUUCCGAAAGCGACAUAUCUCCCUGCAGGAUCAGUGACAGGGAGACAGCUGGCCGGCCUCAGAACGAGCUCCGCCCCAUAAGGACUGCACGGCUGUCCUGUUAGAAAAGCAACGGUGAGGGGCUCCUCCCCAGCUGGUGCCUUUGUGGGGACUUUCUCAUCAAGAGUCAUUACACCGCCAGCGUGGUGGAGUGACAUAUCCAUGGGGAUUUGGUAACAACGAGAUUCUGUACUGUAGGCUCAUGAAUUCAGGAAUUCAUGAAUAUUGAAGAAAUGCACACGGCUCACCACAAGAAAAUAUCGAUUAAACUUCUUUACCCAAGUGUCAGCAUACUAGGAGUUAAUAAAGUGAACUAAAUUGAUAGGUAACAUUGAUCUCUGACACAGGCAGUAGAAUUAAACCCUGGGUGGGUAAAUAAAUCAAAGCUAGUAGAAGCACCUG
rnacentral:lncRNA from 1 species